rnacentral:rRNA from 1 species
UGGGGAAUUUUGGACAAUGGGCGCAAGCCUGAUCCAGCAAUGCCGCGUGCAGGAUGAAGGCCUUCGGGUUGUAAACUGCUUUUGUACGGAACGAAAAGCCCUGGGUUAAUACCCUGGGGUCAUGACGGUACCGUAAGAAUAAGCACCGGCUAACUACGUGCCAGCAGCCGCGGUAAUACGUAGGGUGCGAGCGUUAAUCGGAAUUACUGGGCGUAAAGCGUGCGCAGGCGGUUUUGUAAGACAGAGGUGAAAUCCCCGGGCUCAACCUGGGAACUGCCUUUGUGACUGCAAGGCUAGAGUACGGCAGAGGGGGAUGGAAUUCCGCGUGUAGCAGUGAAAUGCGUAGAUAUGCGGAGGAACACCGAUGGCGAAGGCAAUCCCCUGGGCCUGUACUGACGCUCAUGCACGAAAGCGUGGGGGAGCAAACAGGAUUAGAUACCCUGGUAGUCCACGCCCUAAACGAUGUCAACUGGUUGUUGGGGUCUUAACUGACUCAGUAACGAAGCUAACGCGUGAAGUUGACCGCCUGGGGAGUACGGCCGCAAGGUUGAAACUUAAAUGAAUUGACGGGGUCAUAGCUGUUUCCU